UAGGAGAUGCCUUGUCUCUCUGGUCAGGU
rnacentral:piRNA from 2 species